rnacentral:tRNA from 1 species
GCCUGGGUGGCUCAGUAGUUGAGUGCCUGUCUUUGGCUCAGGUUGUGAUUCUGGGAUCUUGGGAUCAAGUCCCAUAGCAGGCU